rnacentral:snRNA from 1 species
GCCACAUUUCUAAUAUGGUAUCA